UACGUAGGGUCCGAGCGUUGUCCGGAAUUAUUGGGCGUAAAGCGCGUGUAGGCGGCUUUGCAAGUCGGGUGUGAAAGCCCUCAGCUCAACUGAGGAAGUGCGCCCGAAACUGCAGAGCUUGAGUACCGGAGAGGAUGGUGGAAUUCCCCAAGUAGAGGUGAAAUUCGUAGAUAUGGGGAGGAACACCGGUGGCGAAGGCGACCAUCUGGACGGAUACGUGACGCUGAGACGCGAAAGCGUGGGUAGCAAACAGG
rnacentral:rRNA from 1 species